rnacentral:rRNA from 1 species
CCAGCAGCCGCGGUAAUUCCAGCUCCAAUAGCGUAUAUUAAAGUUGUUGCAGUUAAAAAGCUCGUAGUUGAACUUCUGGCUGUGGCUCCAGCAGGCUUCGGUCGCUGGCGUCGCGGUCAUCCGCUUGGGAACUACGUUCGGACUUCACUGUUCGGCGUAAGGAACAGGCAUUUUACUUAGAAAAAAUUAGAGUGUUCAAGGCAGGCUAUCGCCCUGAAUACACAAGCUUGGAAUAAUGAAAUAGGACUUUUUCCAUUUUAUUGGUUAUUGGAGAGAGUAAUGAUUAAUAGGGACAGUUGGGGGCAUUAGUAUUUCGUUGUCAGAGGUGAAAUUCUUGGAUUUACGAAAGACUAACUUAUGCGAAAGCAUUUGCCAAGGAUGUUUUCAUUAAUCAAGAACGAAAGU